UGGUCAAGUUAUUAAGGGUGCAGGGCGGAUGCCUUGGCACUAGGAGCCGAUGAAGGACGUGAUAAGCUGCGAUAAGCUUCGGGGAGUUGCACGUAAACUUUGAUCCGAAGAUUUCCGAAUGAGGAAACUCACUUAGAGUAAUGUCUAAGUAUCAUUAAGUGAAUACAUAGCUUAAUGAGGGGAACUCAGGGAACUGAAACAUCUAAGUACCUGAAGGAAGAGAAAGAAAUUCGAUUCCGUAAGUAGCGGCGAGCGAACGCGGAUUAGCCCAAACCAAUAAAGUUUUCUUUAUUGGGGUUGCGGACAUAUCAUAACGAAGAGGUAUCGUAAUUGAAGAGGUUUGGAAAGACCCACCACAGAAGGUAAUAGUCCUGUAUGUUAAACGAGAAGACUUCAGAUAUGAUCCAGAGUACCACGGGACACGUGAAACCCUGUGGGAAGCAGGAGGGACCACCCUCCAAGGCUAAAUACUACCUAGUGACCGAUAGCGUAUAGUACCGUGAGGGAAAGGUGAAAAGAACCCCGGGAGGGGAGUGAAAUAGAACCUGAAACCCUGCACUUACAAGCUGUGGAAGCACAUUUCUUGUGUGACCGCGUACUUUUUGUAGAACGGGCCAACGAGUUACGUUAAGUAGCAAGGUUAAGCACUUAAGGUGUGGAGCCGUAGCGAAAGCGAGUUUUAACUGAGCGUUCAGUUACUUGACGUAGACCCGAAACCGGGCGACCUACCCAUGAGCAGGAUGAAGCGAAAGUAAAAUUUCGUGGAGGUCCGAACCCACGAGCGUUGAAAAGCUCGGGGAUGACUUGUGGGUAGCGGUGAAAUUCCAAUCGAGCCCGGAGAUAGCUGGUUCUCCCCGAAAUAGCUUUAGGGCUAGCCUCAAGGUGAGAGAUACGGAGGUAGAGCACUGAAUGUCCUAGGGGGUAUUGCACCUACCGAAGACUAUCAAACUCCGAAUGCCGUCAUCUUAUACUUGGGAGUCAGACUGUGGGUGAUAAGAUUCAUAGUCGAAAGGGCAACAGCCCAGAUCGUCAGCUAAGGUCCCUAAAUGUAAGUUAAGUGGUAAAGGAUGUGGGAUUGCACAGACAACCAGGAUGUUGGCUUAGAAGCAGCCACUCAUUCAAAGAGUGCGUAAUAGCUCACUGGUCGAGUGAUCCUGCGCCGAAGAUUUCCGGGGCUAAAACUUACUACCGAAGCUACGGCAUCAGUAAUGAUGGGUAGGGGAGCUUCCCAUACGGGUUGAAGCAUGACCGUAAGGACAUGUGGACAGUAUGGGAGUGAGAAUGUUGGCAUGAGUAGCGAGAUGUGGGUGAGAAUCCCACAGGCCGUAAACCCAAGGUUUCCAGGGGAAGGUUCGUCCGCCCUGGGUUAGUCGGGACCUAAGCUGAGGCCGAAAGGCGUAGGUGAUGGACAACAGGUUGAUAUUCCUGUACUACCGAUAACCGUUUGAGAGAAGGGAUGACACAGUAGGAUAAGCUAAGCACACUGUUGGUUAUGUGUGCCCAAGCAUUGAGGCAGUCAAAGUAGGCAAAUCCGCUUUGAUAAUGCUGGGAUGUGAUGGGGAGCGAAAUUUAGUAGCGAAGUAGCUGAUUUCACACUGUCAAGAAAAGUCUCUAUCGAGGUUAAAGGUACCCGUACCGCAAACCGACACAGGUGGGUGAGGAGAGUAUCCUAAGGCCAGCGAGAGAACUGUUGUUAAGGAACUCGGCAAAAUGACCCCGUAACUUAGGGAUAAGGGGUGCCACCAUCAGGUGGCCGCAGAGAAUAGGCCCAAGCGACUGUUUACCAAAAACAUAGGUUUCUGCUAAGUCGCAAGACGAUGUAUAGGAGCUGACGCCUGCCCGGUGCUGGAAGGUUAAGGGGAUCUGUUAGAGCAAUCGAAGCAGUGAACUUAAGCCCCAGUAAACGGCGGCCGUAACUAUAACGGUCCUAAGGUAGCGAAAUUCCUUGUCGGGUAAGUUCCGACCCGCACGAAAGGCGUAACGAUUUGGGCACUGUCUCAACAACAGACUCGGUGAAAUUGUAAUUCCGGUGAAGAUGCCGGAUACCUGCGACAGGACGGAAAGACCCCAUGGAGCUUUACUGUAGCUUGACAUUGGGUUUUGGUACUACAUGUACAGGAUAGGUGGGAGGCUUUGAAACCAGGACGCCAGUUUUGGCGGAGCCAUCCUUGGGAUACCACCCUUGUAGUACUGGGACUCUAACCAUAGGCCAUGAAUCUGGUCUUGGGACACUGUCAGGUGGGCAGUUUGACUGGGGCGGUCGCCUCCCAAAAGGUAACGGAGGCGCUCAAAGGUUCUCUCAGUACGGUCGGAAAUCGUACGUAGAGUGUAAAGGCAAAAGAGAGCUUGAUUGCAAGACAUACAGGUCGAGCAAGGAUGAAAAUCGGACUUAGUGAUCCGGUGGUUCUGCGUGGAAGGGCCAUCGCUCAACGGAUAAAAGCUACCCUGGGGAUAACAGGCUUAUCUCCCCCAAGAGUCCACAUCGACGGGGAGGUUUGGCACCUCGAUGUCGGCUCAUCACAUCCUGGGGCUGUAGUAGGUCCCAAGGGUUGGGCUGUUCGCCCAUUAAAGUGGUACGCGAGCUGGGUUCAGAACGUCGUGAGACAGUUCGGUCCCUAUCCGUCGCAGGCGUAGGAAAUUUGAGAAGACCUGUCCUUAGUACGAGAGGACCGGGAUGGACGUACCUCUGGUGUACCAGUUGUUCUGCCAAGGGCAUGGCUGGGUAGCUAUGUACGGAAUGGAUAAGCGCUGAAAGCAUCUAAGCGCGAAGCCAACUUCAAGAUAAGAUUUCCCACCGCAAGGGUAAGAUCCCAGAAAGACUAUCUGGUUGAUAGGUCGAAGGUGUAAGUGCAGCAAUGUAUUUAGCUUAUCGAUACUAAUAGGUCGAGGACUUGACCAAUAUUAUUUGAUGUUCACUU
rnacentral:rRNA from 1 species